UGGUGGUCUUAUGGAGUUCUCAUGUUUGAGAUGCUGACUGGUUCCCUCCCAUUUCAAGGAAAAGACAGCAAGGAAACAAUGAUGCUAAUAUUAAAAGCCAAACUCGGGAUGCUUCAGUUUCCCAGCAAUGAGGCACAGGCAUUACUAUGUGCUCUUAGGAUCAGACGUAGAUGGUGCAGAAGAAAUUAAACGCCAUCCCUUCUUUUCAACAAUUGAUUGGAAUAGACUGUAUCGUAGGGA